rnacentral:misc_RNA from 2 species
AACGCACAUUGCGCCCCCCGGCUGCCCGGGGGGCAUGCCUGUCCGAGCGUCAUUGCCAUCCCCUCAAGCUCCGCUUGGCUGGUUGGGCCGACGUCCACCCGUGGCUUUGUGCCAGGGGGGACGGACCCGAAAGGCAGUGGCGGCUCCCGGAGGGUGGUCCCUUGGGGCGGUGAUAACAUGGGUUGUCAUCUUUCACCGCUCUGUUGGCCACGCUCCGGGGGUCUGUCGAACGAUUUGGUCUUCCCCUUUAGGUUGACCUCGGAUCAGGUAGGGAUACCCGCUGAACUUAA